rnacentral:rRNA from 1 species
UACGUAGGGGGCAAGCGUUGUCCGGAUUUAUUGGGCGUAAAGAGCGUGUAGGCGGCCAUACAGGUCAGCUGUGAAAACUCGAGGCUCAACCUCGAGACGUCGGUUGAAACCGUAUGGCUAGAGUCCGGAAGAGGAGAGUGGAAUUCCCGGUGUAGCGGUGAAAUGCGCAGAUAUCGGGAAGAACACCCGUGGCGAAGGCGGCUCCCUGGUUGGAUACUGACGCUGAUACGCGAAAGCGUGGGGAGCAAACAGG